AUUGAACGCUGGCGGCAUGCCUUACACAUGCAAGUCGAACGGCAGCACGGGGGCAACCCUGGUGGCGAGUGGCGAACGGGUGAGUAAUACAUCGGAACGUGCCCAGUAGUGGGGGAGUAGCCCGGCCGAAAGACCGGAUUAAUACCGCAUACGACCUACGGGUGAAAGCGGGGGAGUCGCAAGACCUCGCGCUAUUGGAGCGGCCGAUGUCAGAUUAGGUUGUUGGUGGGGUAAAGCCUACCAAGCCGACGAUCUGUAGCUGGUCUGAGAGGACGACCAGCCACACUGGGACUGAGACACGGCCCAGACUCCUACGGGAGGGCAGCAGUGGGGAAGUUUUAGGUACAAUGGGCGCAAGCCUGAUCCAGCCAUGCCGCGUGCGGGAAGAAGGCCUCGGUUGUAACGC
rnacentral:rRNA from 1 species